GAUGAACGCUAGCGACAGGCUUAACACAUGCAAGUCGAGGGGCAUCACGGGUAGCAAUAUCUGGUGGCGACCGGCGAACGGGUGAGUAACGCGUAUGCAACCUACUUGUAAACGGGAGACAACCUGGAGAAAUUUGGGCUAAACUUCCAUGAGGCAUUAUUACUGCAUGGUAAUGAUGUCAAACGUAAGGUUUACAAAUGGGCAUGCGUAUGAUUAGCUAGUUGGUAGGGUAAUAGCCUACCAAGGCGACGAUCAUUAGGGGUUCUGAGAGGAAGGUCCCCCACAUUGGAACUGAGAUACGGUCCAAACUCCUACGGGAGGCAGCAGUGAGGAAUAUUGCGCAAUGGGGGAAACCCUGACGCAGCAACGCCGCGUGGAGGAAGAAGGUCUUCGGAUUGUAAACUCCUGUCUUCUGGGACGAAGUAUGACGGUACCAGAGGAGGAAGCCACGGCUAACUACGUG
rnacentral:rRNA from 1 species